AUUAUGGCUCAGGAUGAACGCUAGCGGCAGGCUUAACACAUGCAAGUCGAGGGUAGUUGGUUUUCGGACCAAGAGACCGGCGCACGGGUGCGUAACGCGUAUGCAAUCUACCUUUGCAGAGGGAUAGCCCAGAGAAAUUUGGAUUAAUACCUCAUAGUAUAGUACUUUGGCAUCAAGGAACUAUUAAAGUCACAACGGCAAAAGAUGAGUAUGCGUCCCAUUAGCUAGAUGGUAAGGUAACGGCUUACCAUGGCUACGAUGGGUAGGGGUCCUGAGAGGGAGAUCCCCCACACUGGUACUGAGACACGGACCAGACUCCUACGGGAGGCAGCAGUGAGGAAUAUUGGACAAUGGGCGCAAGCCUGAUCCAGCCAUGCCGCGUGCAGGAUGACGGUCCUAUGGAUUGUAAACUGCUUUUAUACAGGAAGAAACACUCCGACGUGUCGGAGCUUGACGGUACUGUAAGAAUAAGGAUCGGCUAACUCCGUG
rnacentral:rRNA from 1 species